rnacentral:rRNA from 1 species
GAUGAACGCUAGCGGCAGGCUUAACACAUGCAAGUCGAGGGGCAGCGUGAUGAAGUAGCAAUACUGAAUUGACGGCGACCGGCGCACGGGUGCGUAACGCGUAUGUAACCUACCUUUAACAGGGGGAUAACACUGAGAAAUUGGUACUAAUACCCCAUAACACUUAGAGAGGCAUCUCUUUGAGUUGAAAGUUCCGGCGGUUAAAGAUGGACAUGCGUUGUAUUAGCUAGAUGGUGAGGUAACGGCUCACCAUGGCGACGAUACAUAGGGGGACUGAGAGGUUAACCCCCCACACUGGUACUGAGACACGGACCAGACUCCUACGGGAGGCAGCAGUGAGGAAUAUUGGUCAAUGGACGCAAGUCUGAACCAGCCAUGCCGCGUGCAGGAUGACGGCUCUAUGAGUUGUAAACUGCUUUUGUACAAGGGUAAACCUCGGUACGUGUACCGAGCUGAAAGUACUGUACGAAUAAGGAUCGGCUAACUCCGUGCCAGCAGCCGCCGUAAAAC